UACGUAGGGUGCAAGCGUUAAUCGGAAUUACUGGGCGUAAAGCGUGCGCAGGCGGUUUUGUAAGUCAGAUGUGAAAUCCCCGGGCUUAACCUGGGAACUGCGUUUGAAACUACAAGGCUAGAGUGUAGCAGAGGGGGGUAGAAUUCCACGUGUAGCAGUGAAAUGCGUAGAGAUGUGGAGGAAUACCAAUGGCGAAGGCAGCCCCCUGGGUUAACACUGACGCUCAUGCACGAAAGCGUGGGGAGCAAACAGG
rnacentral:rRNA from 1 species